GGUGCCUCCCCCCACUGCCACAAGAGCGAUGAGACACAGCUCUUCCUUCCGUGCCACGCGGGUAAUUGGGAAACCAGAAUUCAUAGUGUGGAGGGAAGGAGGGUCUGGCCUUGGAUCACUGACCAGUGGGGCUCCACUACAGAAGAGCUUCCAUGAAGCCGGUACGGAUUCAUGCAGAAGGACAUCACAGCAAGGCGAAUGCUACAUUUCGAGAGGGUGUUAUCCAGGGCCUGGAUCUCACAGUGCCAACCCAAACCUCGAGCUCUCUGAAGACUGGGACCUUGGCUCACAUGGGCAGCCUAUCAAUCACCGCGCAGCCCUUUCUCCUGCACAGCCCGGCCAAUCACCGGUGAUUGUGUUUGAAACAAAAUGCAACGUGCCCGAGCGUAAAUGAGUUGAACGCUUGCACACAUAUUUGAACACGACGUUGUUUCGGUGCUUUUGGUCGACUGUAUUGUCC
ensembl:lncRNA